CUAGAUAACUUUCAAUAGCUCCCAUCAAAAUCUCCUAAAUGGUCUAAAUAGGCAAAUUGCUUAGAAUAUAAUUUUUUUAAGAAAAUACGCAAUUUCUAGGAUUUUAGUUUAAGAUUAAUAACUUAGAAAAUAAGCGCAAAACAAGUUCAUAUGAAGUUAUAUUUACAAGCCCAUCUAUCAAUACUUUGUUUACGUUUUCAAAUACUACUUAAACUAUUCGUCUACACAAUAAAUAUAAUUCGUCUACACAAUAAUAUAUUUAUAUCACAUUACUCAAUAAAUAAUAUAUUUACUCACAUAUAUAAUAGAAUUGCAAAUGGUAAUAAAGAUGUGAUUCUCAACAGUUGCGACUGUUCCAAUAACAACUCUCUCAUUCUAUACAAAUAACAACACACUAUUGGAAAACUAAUACGAAUUAUCUUAUGCCAUAACUCUAAUUGUUAACUUUUUUCUGUGCAACAACUCUAAUUGUUAACUCAUAAUUAGUUUUCCGAACAAAAAAACCAACAUUAUGUCAUAUAAUUAACGUAUAUCCCGCGCGCAGACUCUAGUUACAUAUAUAUUAAUGAAACCGUUGUGACACUCUUCUUCUUCAUCUAUCCGUUUGUUUGAUCUGAUGGAUUUCUUUCUCAUCACUUUUUUUCUGAUGGAU
rnacentral:lncRNA from 1 species